GACGAACGCUGGCGGCGUGCCUAAUACAUGCAAGUCGAACGCUUCUUUCCUCCCGAGUGCUUGCACUCAAUUGGAAAGGGGAGUGGCGGCCGGGUGAGUAACACGUGGGUAACCUACCCAUCAGAGGGGGAUAACACUUGGAAACAGGUGCUAAUACCGCAUAACAGUUUAUGCCGCAUGGCAUUAGAGUGGAAGGUGCUUUCGGGUGUCGCUGAUGGAUGGACCCGCGGUGCAUUAGCUAGUUGGUGAGGUAACGGCUCACCAAGGCCACGACGCAUAGCCGCACUGAGAGGGUGAUCGGACACACUGGGACUGAGACAGGUCCGAGACUCCGAGGGGGGGCAGCAGUAGGGAAUCUUCGGCAAUGGACGAAAGUCUGACCGAGCAACGCCGCGUGAGUGAAGAAGGUGUUCUGAUCGUAAAACUCUGUUGUUAGAGAAGAACAAGGACGUUAGUAACUGAACGUCCCCUGACGGUAUCUAACCAGAAAGCCACGGCUAACUACGUG
rnacentral:rRNA from 1 species